GGAUAUGAGGGCAAUCUGGCUGUGACAUCUGUCACCCCACUGAUCGCCAGGGUUGAGUCAGGGGGCUGGCUAGGCGGGUGUCCCCUUCCUCCCUCACUGCUCCAUAUGUGUCCCUCCCAAAGCUGUGUGUUUGGUUGAAGAGCACGGCCUUCCCUGAAUAGAGACGGACCCGUCUUCAACUUGAGUAUACAAGUAGCUAUGCUCCCCUGCUAGACUCUCCAAACAAGUUCUCAAGGUCCAAGGGCAAAGACAUUCAGUGUACAGAGCCUCUGCAUUAGA
ensembl:misc_RNA 7SK 7SK RNA